UUACAGCCAGACUUGAGUGGAGCACAUUUUGUAUUUUUGGGAGGAAAAAAGCGAAGGCAAAAAAUACAAAAUUGCGAGAACGGAAGGCGGAAAUAGC
rnacentral:misc_RNA from 1 species